GAGAGGUGUCCGAGUUGGUUGAUGGUACAGCCCUGCUAAGGCUGAGGCGAGUAUUCUCGUUCAAGGGUUCAAACCCCUUUCUCUCCG
rnacentral:tRNA from 1 species